CAUAGAUUGUAGGAGAAAUUGUAUAUGCCAAACUGUAUAUAUAUAGAUAUAUACAUGUGUAUGUGUGAAUGGUCGUGCAAGACAUUCAAUGAUAUAUAUAUAUAUAUAUAUAUAUAUAUAUAUAUAGGACUAUUUUGUUACUAGUAACAGAAUAAUAUUCUGUUACUCCAGCGUCCUAUAGAGAACGAGAUGAAUUUUCUUCAAACCAGUACGCCCGUGCGAAAAAAAUUCAAAUCACCCACUCACAACCAGCUCUUCCCACUCGUCGUCCUUCCCCUCAGCCCCGCGCGCCACCGACAAACCUCCACCCCGCGCGCCCCCUGGCCAGCCUCCACCCCGCGCGCCACCGGCGAACGUCCAUCCCGCGCUCCCACCGGCCACCCUUCACCCCGCGCGCCGCCGGCCAACCUCCAUCCCGCGCUCCCGCAAGCCACUCUCCACCCCGCGCGCCCGCCGGCCAACCUCCACCCCCCACGCCCCCGGCUACCCUCCACCCGGCGCGCCCGCCAGCCAUCCUCCAUCCUGCGCGCCCUCGGCCACCCUCCAUCUCACGUUCCCGCCAGCCUUCCUCCAGUCGCGCCACCCACCUGCCACCAACAUCGCCCAUCGCCUGCCUCCGUCGUGUACGGGACUGGAUAUGCCCCCCGGCACCUCUUCCUCCCCCUGCCCCCGCACAUGGAAGCUAGUGGCUGGUGCCAUUCGAUGCUGCUCUGCUCCAUCAACUUCAACCACCGGUUCAUGAGGUGCACGCCAUGUGUUUGCUAAAUUGACUCAGUGCAGUGGAGCAUCUUUUUUUACUUUGUUUCAUGUUCAUUUGUAGGUAGCUUGUUCUUGCCAAAUGUUGUAGCUUAGAUGACUUCAGAAUGUUUAUCGUCCUAUCAUCACAUAAGUCCAUGUAUUACUACCAUGGGAGUUCAAAGAAAUUCCUGUAACACGCGCCGUGCCCCGGCCCCAUGUUCCGGGGUUGCCCUCCACAGCCUCAGCACGCAGGCCGUUCACCUCCGCCACCGAGGUCGUUCACCUCCGCCACCGAUGUCCGUUCAACACCACAAGGAGAACCCUGUGUGUCAACACCCCUGUCAACCCCGUGCGACUUUGUUCUCUCAGCUUCAAAGAGGGUCAGUUCAGAACUUUGAACGCCCAGUGGUUCAGUUCAGAACUUGGCCUGGUGAUACAUUUGGUUUCUUUUCUACAGCUCACACAACCCAAAUAACAGUUGAUCAUUUGAUAAAUUUUGGGUUCAGCUUCACACUAUGCAGGAGUGCAUAUUCUUCUCCUUGUAAGUUCUAACAAUAGAUGGGUGGUUUUGCUAAUCAGUUCAAGCUCAAAUAACAAAAUUCCUCGCUGGAUUGCAUCGUUCUUAUCUAUUGUUUUCUUUGCUCAAUUGAUAUCAGCCACUGUAAGUCCUUUUCUCCAGCCAUGAUGGAGACCCAUUCAAAUUAGUUGUUCUAUGUGUACACAUUCAGAUAUACUAGUUGAUCUGCUGAAAGAUACGAUAUGUGUACUUCUGAUAAUCUCAAACAUGUUUUACUCAACUUUAGAAAACAUGUAAUAUUGUUGUGCUGCUUUGCAGUGUCUCCAGCAAUCCUACUUCUCCAUGACGACAAGGACGACGUCGCCAUGCAUGCACACUCUCCUUUCUUUCUACUUCCGAGACGGUGAGGAGCUCUAGCAGGUGGCCGCCGGUGGGAUCCGCAGGUGCAACCUUGCCAGCAGCAUGUUGGCGGUUCCUCUAUUUCUCUUGUUGCUGCUCCAAGCCGCAACACCUCAUGUCGUCAUCAUCUCUGCAGGGCCACCGCUCCAACCUGUCCCCUGUCGCAGCCCCACCACUCAUUGCCGAUGCACUCCAACCCGAGGACCUCCAAGAUGGAGGUCGCCUCGCAGCCUAGCGACGAGUUCAAGGACGGACACCCCAGGUUCUCAAGCAGCAAAGUUAUCGCACAAAGUCGAACUUGCUGCUGCACCAUCUUCACCAUGUCAAACUUGCAGCAGCCAGGGGAUCCACAAUCAUUGGGAGCUGUCCAAGUCGAGCUAUCACCGCAGUCCAAGUGUUACUGCGACUACCAUUUUCACCCAGCGCUGCACCCAUUGAGCACCCACACAGGUUCUUCGCGCGCUAGCGCCGCUGCCGGCCCCGUACAACUAAGUCCUUGGCCCACUGCACGCCCUGCUGCCCUCGACCUCCCUCUCACAGGCAUGCUACCCCAACUUUCAUUUCGAUUCUUAGUUCAAGUUGUGUGUUCUUAUCUUUGCAUUGUGCUUUAAGUGUGCAAAAUCUUGAGGAAAUCCUGCAAUAUUAUGUGUGCAAUAAAGGUAAUUAAGUGCCUUUAGAAAUUCUGACAGUCCAUCCCAGACUAAGCAAAUAAUACAUGCUAGUGUUGGUUUUUUAAGAGAAUUUAGUAUUAGUUGAUCAACAUUUUGAUGCUUUUUCACCAUGUCUGCACUUCGUUAUAGUUAAGCAUUGAUCCAUUUCUCAGCUGCAAGUAAAUAAUGAUCUUGCACUUCACUAUAAUGCCCUCCCCCUCUGUUUCUCUUCCUCUCUAAAUCCCCUUUCUAUAACUAAUUUAUUUUCUCCCUGAAUGCAGCAUGAGGGAGGCUGGAGCGACUGCAGAUCGGUGACAAGAGCCACUUCAGUUCUGUUGUUCGUGUAUUGGAAGUACGUAUCCUCUAUCCGGGCAGGAGAUAGAGGUAAUUUCUCCCCUAAUGCAACCUAUUUUGUAAGUAGCCUGAGACCCAUCAUGUCCUAUAUACAGAUUCGGAGUUUAACACAUCAAUGGAAGUUUGUUCUAAAAACUGAAAUUGUUCUGGAUGUACUGAUAGAUUAGUUGUUAAUUAUUGUAGUGUUUCGUUCUUGCAGAAUAAAAAUAAUAUGUAUGGGUUACUUCUUGGCCCAGCUGAGAGAACCCUCAUGUUGAAAAGUAUAAAGAAGUUUCGAAGCAAUUCCUAGUGUCUUUCGAAGCAUUCAUGGUUAAAAGCAACGGCAAUCUCCUCCGUUCAAGUUGAGCACUGGUCAUCGUCCAAGUUGAGCGCUAGAUGUCGUCCAAGUUCAAAGAGGGUUGUAUGCAAGUACAGAAGUUUGUUUUAGUGAGAAAAAUUGCGGGUUUUUGGACAAUAUUAUGUAUGUUUGAUUUGCUCAACCUUAGAACUUGGAGAUAUCCACUCUAUUCUUCUAUGAUGAAGGCACACAUGAGAUCAUGUGCAAUGGUUAUCCCCCUA